rnacentral:SRP_RNA from 1 species
GUCAGGUACCAUGGUACCUGUAGUCCUAGCUACUUGGGAGGCUGAGACAGGAGAAUUACUUGAAUACAGGAGUUCUGGACUUCAGUGCAGUAUGUCACUCGGGUGUCCACAUUAAGUUCAGCAUCAAUAUGUUGACCUUGUGGGAGGAAGAAACCACCAGGUUGUCUAAGGAGGGGUGAAUAGGCUCAAGUUGGAAACAGAGCAGAUUAAAACUUCCAUACUAAUCAGUAGUGGCAUCUUACCUGUGAACAGCCACUGCCCUUCAAACUGUGCAACAUAGGGAGACAUCUAUUCU